GCAGCCGCGGUAAUUCCAGCUCCAAUAGCGUAUAUUUAAGUUGUUGCAGUUAAAAAGCUCGUAGUUGGAUUUCGGGUGUCGCGUGCCGGUCCGCCGUUUCGGUGUGCACUGGCGGGCGUCAUCUUUCUGUCGAGGACACGCUCCUGUCCUUCACUGGUCGGGACGUGGAGUCGGCGAAGUUACUUUGAAAAAAUUAGAGUGUUCAAAGCGGGCUUACGCUUGAAUAUAUUAGCAUGGAAUAACACUAUAGGACUCCUGUCCUAUUUUGUUGGUCUUCGGGACGGGAGUAAUGAUUAAGAGGAACAGUUGGGGGCAUUCGUAUUUCAUUGUCAGAGGUGAAAUUCUUGGAUUUCUGAAAGACGAACUACUGCGAAAGCAUUUACCAAGGAUGUUUUCAUUAAUCAAGAACGAAAGUUAGGGGAUCGAAGAUGAUUAGAUACC
rnacentral:rRNA from 12 species